rnacentral:rRNA from 1 species
GGGGCCCGCACAAGCGGUGGAGCAUGUGGUUUAAUUCGAAGCAACGCGAAGAACCUUACCAGGUCUUGACAUCCUCUGACAAUCCUAGAGAUAGGACGUCCCCUUCGGGGGCAGAGUGACAGGUGGUGCAUGGUGGUCGUCAGCUCGUGUCGUGAGAUGUUGGGUUAAGUCCCGCAACGAGCGCAACCCUUGAUCUUAGUUGCCAGCAUUCAGUUGGGCACUCUAAGGUGACUGCCGGUGACAAACCGGAGGAAGGUGGGGAUGACGUCAAAUCAUCAUGCCCCUUAUGACCUGGGCUACACACGUGCUACAAUGGAC